rnacentral:rRNA from 1 species
CCUACGGGAGGCAGCAGUGGGGAAUAUUGGGCAAUGGGCGCAAGCCUGACGCAGCAACGCCGCGUGAGGGAAGAAGGCUUUCGGAUUGUAAACUUCUGUUAGCAGGGAAGAACAGAAGACGGUACCUCUUGAAUUAACUACGGCUAACUUCGUGCCGGCAGCCCCGGUAAUACGGUGGUGGCAAGCGUUGUACGGCUUUGCUGGGUGUAAAGGGAGGGCAGCCGGGAAUACAAAUCAGAUGUGAAAUCCCUCGGCUGAACAUCGGAACUGCAUUUGAAACUGGUUGACGUGAGUACAGGAGAGGAUAUCGGAAUUCCGGGUGUAGCGGUGAAAUGCGUAGAUAUCAGGAAGAACAUCAGUGGCGAAGGCGGAUGACUGG